AGACAACAAAUUUUUAAUUAAUUAUAAUAAUAGGUACAUAAUAGUAGUACAUUACUACAAUAAUAUUAUAAUUUCCACACUCUAAUUUUUAUAAUUUUUCUUGUACUAAUAUUCAUGUACUUAUAUAGUAUGUCCCCAAUUUUUUUAACAUAAAAACAAAACAGCUAAAUUAAUUACAAACUUAGGACAAAAAUAUCUUCUUAGUGUGGGAGAAGGAUAGAACUUACUCUAAUACUCUACACUCUUAGUCACGAGGGUAAUUUAGGAAUUUUACCAAGCAGAAAUAGAACACGACAAAAACCUUAAUAUUAACGAGUCUGGAUUUUUCCAACGAAAAGACAAUAAUGCCCUUAACUUGGCCACGUCAAGAACUCGUCCAAGUCAAACUCGCCAAACUCUUCUUUUUCUUUCCCAAACGGAACAAAGUUAAUGGCCGUUAAACUUAACGGCGCGUCAAUUUCGAACCCAAAAGCAUCCACUNNN
rnacentral:lncRNA from 1 species